GUGAGGAAUAUUGGUCAAUGGACGGAAGUCUGAACCAGCCAUGCCGCGUGCAGGAAUAAGGUCCUAUGGAUUGUAAACUGCUUUUAUUCGGGAAUAAACCUCUUUACGUGUAGGGAGCUGAAGGUACCGAAGGAAUAAGCACCGGCUAACUCCGUGCCAGCAGCCGCGGUAAUACGGAGGGUGCAAGCGUUAUCCGGAAUCAUUGGGUUUAAAGGGCCCGCAGGCGGGCUAUCAAGUCAGAGGUGAAAUCCCACAGCUUAACUGUGGAACUGCCUUUGAAACUGAUGGUCUUGAAUUAAGUGGGCGUUGGCGGAAUAUGACAUGUAGCGGUGAAAUGCAUAGAUAUGUCAUGGAACACCGAAAGCGAAGGCAGCUAACGAUACUUAUAUUGACGCUCAUGGACGAAAGCGUGGGUAGCGAACAGGAUUAGAUACCCUGGUAGUCC
rnacentral:rRNA from 1 species